GAUGAACGCUGGCGGCGUGCUUAACACAUGCAAGUCGAACGGUGAAGCAGAGCUUGCUCUGUGGAUCAGUGGCGAACGGGUGAGUAACACGUGAGCAACCUGCCCCUGACUCUGGGAUAAGCGCUGGAAACGGCGUCUAAUACUGGAUAUGAGCUGCGACCGCAUGGUCAGCAGUUGGAAAGAUUUUUCGGUCUGGGAUGGGCUCACGGCCUAUCAGCUUGUUGGUGAGGUAAUGGCUCGCCAAGGCGUCGACGGGUAGCCGGCCUGAGAGGGUGACCGGCCACACUGGGACUGAGACACGGCCCAGACUCCUACGGGAGGCAGCAGUGGGGAAUAUUGCACAAUGGGCGAAAGCCUGAUGCAGCAACGCCGCGUGAGGGAUGACGGCCUUCGGGUUGUAAACCUCUUUUAGCAGGGAAGAAGCGAAAGCGACGGUACCUGCAGAAAAAGCGCCGGCUAACUACGUG
rnacentral:rRNA from 1 species